UACAGGGGGUGCAAACGUUGCUCGGAAUCAUUGGGCGUAAAGCGCACGUAGGCGGUCUGUUAUGUCGGAUGUGAAAACCCUUGGCUUAACUGAGGAAGUGCAUCCGAAACUGGCAGGCUAGAGUACUAAAGAGGGUCGCGGAAUUCCCGGUGUAGAGGUGAAAUUCGUAGAUAUCGGGAGGAACACCGGUGGCGAAGGCGGCGACCUGGGUAGAUACUGACGCUGAGGUGCGAAAGCGUGGGGAGCAAACAGG
rnacentral:rRNA from 1 species